CUGUAUAUCUAAUUCUUGCAUUCUAAUCUGUAUGCAUGCAUUAUUGUUUGUAAAACAGAUUGCUGGAAAGAAACAUGACCAACUGAACUUGCAUGUUUUCUGAUCAUCAGCUACUCAAAGCUCUUUACAAGUGAGUGUGGCAAACCAAAUCCUUGACAGUAUUUGGAUGAUAGAAGGGAGUGACAACAGACGUGCUAAAAUGAAAACUAAAGCUGCAGUGGUUUGCAUCUGUGCCAUCUUCAUGGUUUUUCUUAUAGUUGAAUCUUGGUGUGCUCCAAAGAGUAAACUAAUAGCAAGAAAUUGGGGCCCACAGUCAAUGCUAUACCUCAAAGGACGAUAUGGCAGGAGAUAUGCUUCUGAUGAUGAAGACCAAUAUUACCAGUUUGACCUAGAGGACUUGAAUGCAAU
ensembl:lncRNA